UACGUAGGGUGCAAGCGUUGUCCGGAAUUAUUGGGCGUAAAGAGCUCGUAGGCGGUUUGUCGCGUCUGCUGUGAAAACCCGAGGCUCAACCUCGGGCCUGCAGUGGGUACGGGCAGACUAGAGUGCGGUAGGGGGAGAUUGGAAUUCCUGGUGUAGCGGUGGAAUGCGCAGAUAUCAGGAGGAACACCAAUGGCGAAGGCAGAUCUCUGGGCCGUAACUGACGCUGAGAGACGAAAGCUAGGGGAGCGAAUGGG
rnacentral:rRNA from 1 species